rnacentral:rRNA from 1 species
CCUACGGGGGGCAGCAGUGAGGAAUAUUGGUCAAUGGCCGGAAGGCUGAACCAGCCAUGCCGCGUGAAGGUCAGUGCCCUAUGGGCGUUAAACUUCUUUUGUGCGGGAGCAAUAUUGGUCACGUGUGGCCAGACGAGAGUACCGUACGAAUAAGCAUCGGCUAACUCCGUGCCAGCAGCCGCGGUAAUACGGGGGAUGCAAGCGUUAUCCGGAUUUAUUGGGUUUAAAGGGUGCGUAGGCUGGGAGGUAAGUCAGCGGUGAAAUGCCCCCGCUCAACGGGGUGAAGUGCCAUUGAUACUGCCUGGCUGGAAUGCGGAUGCCGUGGGAGGAAUGUGUGGUGUAGCGGUGAAAUGCAUAGAUAUCACACAGAACACCGAUUGCGAAGGCAUCUCACGAAUCCGCGAUUGACGCUGAUGCACGAAAGCGUGGGUAUCAAACAGGAUUAGAUACCCCUGUAGUC